rnacentral:rRNA from 1 species
GUUGUGAGGUUAAGCGACUAAGCGUACACGGUGGAUGCCCUGGCAGUCAGAGGCGAUGAAGGGCGUGCUAAUCUGCGAUAAGCGCCGGUAAGGUGAUAUGAACCGUUAUAACCGGCGAUACCCGAAUGGGGAAACCCAGUGUGAUUCGUCACACUAUCAUUAACUGAAUCCAUAGGUUAAUGAGGCGAACCGGGGGAACUGAAACAUCUAAGUACCCCGAGGAAAAGAAAUCAACCGAGAUUCCCCCAGUAGCGGCGAGCGAACGGGGAGGAGCCCAGAGCCUGAAUCAGCAUGUGUGUUAGUGGAAGCGUCUGGAAAGGCGCGCGAUACAGGGUGACAGCCCCGUACACAAAAGCGCAUGUGCUGUGAGCUCGAUGAGUAGGGCGGGACACGUGGUAUCCUGUCUGAAUAUGGGGGGACCAUCCUCCAAGGCUAAAUACUCCUGACUGACCGAUAGUGAACCAGUACCGUGAGGGAAAGGCGAAAAGAACCCCGGCGAGGGGAGUGAAAAAGAACCUGAAACCGUGUACGUACAAGCAGUGGGAGCACCCUUUGGGUGUGACUGCGUACCUUUUGU